AGAGUUUGAUCCUGGCUCAGAUUGAACGCUGGCGGUAUGCUUAACACAUGCAAGUCGAACGAUGAGAAAGAGCUUGCUCUUUCGAUUAGUGGCGGACGGGUGCGUAACGCGUAGGAAUCUGCCUAUUAGUGGGGGACAACUUAGGGAAACUUAAGCUAAUACCGCAUACGCCCUACGGGGGAAAGGAGGGGAUCUUCGGACCUUUCGCUAAUAGAUGAGCCUGCGUAGGAUUAGCUAGUUGGUGGGGUAAAGGCCUACCAAGGCAACGAUCCUUAGCUGGUCUGAGAGGACGAUCAGCCACACUGGGACUGAGACACGGCCCAGACUCCUACGGGAGGCAGCAGUGGGGAAUAUUGGACAAUGGGGGCAACCCUGAUCCAGCCAUUCCGCGUGAGUGAAGAAGGCCUUCGGGUUGUAAAGCUCUUUCGGCAGGAACGAAACGGUGCAGGUUAAUACCCUGUAUCAAUGACGGUACCUGAAGAAGAAGCACCGGCUAACUACGUGCCAGCAGCCGCGGUAAUACGUAGGGUGCGAGCGUUAAUCGGAGUUACUGGGCGUAAAGCGUGCGCAGGCGGCUUUGUAAGACAGGUGUGAAAUCCCCGGGCUUAACCUGGGAACUGCGCUUGUGACUGCAAGGCUUGAGUGUGGCAGAGGGGGGUGGAAUUCCACGUGUAGCAGUGAAAUGCGUAGAGAUGUGGAGGAACACCGAUGGCGAAGGCAGCCCCCUGGGUCAACACUGACGCUCAUGCACGAAAGCGUGGGCAGCAAACAGGAUUAGAUACCCUGGUAGUCC
rnacentral:rRNA from 1 species